AUGAAAGCAGUUAAAUUGGGAUAUAAAUGGUUUGUUGGGAAUGGUAGAUCUAUUAGAUUUUGGGAAGAUAUUUGAUUUUGUAAUUCUCCACUUGCCACCCAGUUCUGGGACUUGUAUUGUAUAGUUAAUGAUAAAAACAAGACCAUUGCAGAUACUUGGGAUGGAGAUAUCCUAAGGAUUUCCUUUAGAAGGAAUUUUGAUGAUGUGCUAAUGUAA
rnacentral:rRNA from 1 species